rnacentral:rRNA from 1 species
UACGGGGGGGGGCAAGCGUUGUUCGGAAUUAUUGGGCGUAAAGGGCUCGUAGGCGGCCAACUAAGUCAGACGUGAAAUCCCUCGGCUCAACCGGGGAACUGCGUCUGAUACUGGAUGGCUUGAAUCCGGGAGAGGGAUGUGGAAUUCCAGGUGUAGCGGUGAAAUGCGUAGAUAUCGGGAGGAACACCUGAGGCGAAGGCGGGUUACUGGGCUGAUACUGACGCUGAUGCGCGAAAGCCAGGGGAGCAAACGGG